rnacentral:lncRNA from 1 species
AGAGCAGGAACCUUAGUUUUGUGCGUGUCCAGUUAAGUACUACACUUUACAGGGAAUAGAGGAAUGAAUGAAUGAAAAAAACAACACAGGCUGGCACGGUGGCUCAUGUCGGUAAUCUCAGCAUAUUGGGAGGCCCAGGUGGGUGGAUCACUUGAGGCCAGGAGUUCCAGACCAGCUUACGCAACAUGGUGAGGAAGUGGAGGCUCCCAAAUGUUGACUUGUCACAGGUGACAUGGUUUGUAAGUGGCAGAACUGGGGCGAGAAGCCAAGUGGUUGCCUCCUGUCCCUUCCUUCCAUUGUACCACAGCGCUGGCCUCUCCUCUCCUCACCUGACACUCCAUGGGUUCAAGUCAUUGCUACCGGAUGCCAAACUCUGCAGGUGCUGUGCUGGACACCGGGAAGCCAAGUGACUGGAUGAGAGACACUGUCCUAAGAGUACUUGCCAUCUAGUGCAUGACACAGACAUCCAGUGAAUAAUAGCAGCACAGUAUCAUGAAGGCUAUGGUAGGGACAAUCCAGGAUCCUACCAGAGCUUAUUCACAUGGGUGGUCAGAAAAGAACGGCUGCCCAUGGCAUUGGGGCAGAGAAAAAAUUGUACAACAAGCCAAAGAAUGCCUAUCCUUUCAUGAAGCAUUUUGGUGGGGCCAUUCUGUGACCUGUCUAUGCUUAAUGAUUCUAGGAAUGGAUUCAGUUACAGGCUGGACUCAGGGCUUCUUUGCAGUAAGUGACAGGCUACCACAUACAUACCACAUAUGCACACUGUGGUCUGAACAAGAACACUCGCUUAAAAGGAAAGUCAGGAGGAAAAGGAAAGGGUGACUUUUACUGCUUUGGCUGAAGGUACUGUAUUUGCCAGUAGAGAACUUGGGGAAAUCAAAUAUUUCAAUUACCCUAUAAUCAUGGAAGGUAAGACUGAUGGGUGAGCUUUUAGCUGUCUUCACGGUGUUUACACAUCUUUACAUCCCAUGGACAUCCCUUUGGAUCUAAAUGGAAGUCCUAAUUCCGAGGUCUUGAUUUAUUUUAGACAUGGGAAGUACUUCUUAACUGAACAGUCAGGGUUAAGUCAGGGAAGGGAACCCCUUGGAGUUAUGGGAUAAAGGACACACUUAUUAUAGGAAUUGGACAUUACACAACUUUGGGAGGAACUGGAGAGGUGAAGGCCCCGGAGGAAUGGGAGGAUCAGAGAAGGAGCCGCCAAGCAGUCCCUUGGACAAGCUAAGCACAUCCUGCUGCUGUGGAGGGGCUGAAAAGAGAAGCCUGUGGUCCCUCCUCCGUGGAAAUGCCAUCUGAGGGAGGGGCUGGGGCUGCUGUCGGUCCUGGAGUCAGCAGUCAGGAAGAGGACUGGAUGUGGAGUGCAGGACAGCAAGGACAAGCUGGAACCCGCUGGCCUCUCUGUGUCUGUCACCACAUCUAACCCUGAUGACUUUCUGAGAGUGAUGGCCACUGCUUCACAUUUUCCAAACCUGGUACAAGUUCUUCUUCUGGCCAAAUUUAACUCAGAACUGUACAGGGAAAGGGAUCUCGAAAAGAUAGUUCCAUCUUAGCCAAGUGAACAGAGCACAAACCAUCACAUUUGAAGAAAAGGCUGAAGGUAGAGAGAGAAUACUCUGCCUUAAUUAAGAAACAAAUACUUGGCUGGGUGCGACGGCUCAUGCCUGUAAUCCCAGCUCUUUGGGAGGCUGAGGCCGGCGGAUUGUUUGGGCUCAUAAGUUUGAAACCAGCCUGGGCAACAUGGCAAAACCCCGUCUCUACAAAAAAAUACAAAAAUUAGCUGGGUGUGGUGGCAUGUGCCUGUAGCAUCACCUACUCUGGAGGCCGAAGUAGGAGGAUGGCUGGAGCCUGGGAGACAGAAGUUGCAGAGAGUUGACAUCACGCCACUGUACCCCAGCCUGGGUAACAGAGUCAGAUCUUGUCUCAAGAAAAAAAAAAAAAGAAAGAAAGAAAGAAAGAAAAAAAAAAAACACUGCAGAACUUCCUAGUUCAAAGAACCAGAGGUUUACAGCCUGCUGAACAAGUGAUUCAGAGGUGUAUACCCACAGCACAGAGCAUCUCGCCACAGUUCAGGUGACAGUGCCUUCCGCUCCAUGAAGAAUAUCUCCAUGGAAAAGGAAUUCCGGGCCAGACGCAGUGGCUCAUGCCGACAGGGUCUCGCUGUGUCACCCAGACUGGAAUGCAGUGAGAUGACCUUGGCUCACUACAACUUCUGCCUCCCGGGCUCAAGUAAUCCUCCCACUUCAGCCUUCUGGGACUACAGGCGCAUGCCACCACACCUGGAUAAUUUUUGUGGUUUUUGUAGAGAUGGAGUUUCACCAUGUUUCCCAGGCUGGUCUUGAACUCCUGGACUGAAGCAAUGCCCCUGCCUUGGCCUCCCAAUGUGCUGGGAUCACAGGCAUGAGCCAUCGCACCUGGCCCUAACACAUCUUUGUGUGAAGUUGUCCACAUCACACUGGGACUCAGCCCUGUCUGCUAGGGACAUAUUGUAGGUGGAUGUAGCAAGAAGCUAAGAUGAAAAGAAGUUGACUCUAGCCAAAAAAUGUCAAAGAGGAAGAGUUCAAGACCUGUUGUGAGGUAAUGGUGAGGAAGAUGGCACCCGAGAUGGAGAACUAGCUUUGUUUUAGGUCAUGCAGGGCUGGACUGUGAAGACCCUUACACAUUGUGGUAGAAGAGGGUUGUGGGGUGAGGGGUGAUUUUGCUCUAAGGUUCUUCUACUGCAGGUGAAGAAAUCUGAAUUAAAAGCUCAGUUUUUAAGUACUUCAUCAUUAAUCCAAACAAAGUUCUUCCCUUAUUUUACUUUUUAUUUUUCCUUUAUACCCCUAAACCCUAAUUAUAUUCCCUUCACCCCACAGCACCUACUUUAAUAUAUCUUUAUAUAUGCAUGGAUGCUGUCUUACAAAAGUUAUAUUAUUUUAGGUGAGAUGUCUUUACAAAAAUGAUAAUGUACUAUAUAUCCUUUCCUAUUUCCUAUGUUUUUCCCUUACCCCUCAGUGUUUUUUUGUUUUUUGAGACAGGGUCUCACUCUGUCACCCAGGUUGGAGUGCAGUGAUAUGAUCUUGGCUCACUACAGCCUCAGUCUCCAGGCUCAAGUG